UUGUUCGCAAUGGGCGCAAGCCUGACGACGCAACGCCGCGUGGGGGAUGAAGGUCUUCGGAUUGUAAACCCCUGUUGGGUGGGACGAACACUUUCGUGGUGAAUAGCCAUGGAGGCUGACGGUACCUGCAUAAGAAGCCCCGGCCAACUACGUGCCAGCAGCCGCGGUAAGACGUAGGGGGCGAGCGUUGUCCGGAUUUAUUGGGCGUAAAGAGCUCGUAGGCGGCUCAGAAAGUCGGGUGUGAAACCUCCAGGCUCAACCUGGAGACGCCACCUGAUACUGCUGUGGCUAGAGUCCGGUAGGGGAACACGGAAUACCCGGUGUAGCGGUGAAAUGCUUAGAUAUCGGGUGGAACACCAGUGGCGAAGGCGGUGUUCUGGGCCGGAACUGACGCUGAGGAGCGAAAGCGUGGGUAGCAAAC
rnacentral:rRNA from 1 species